AUCAGGGGUAAACCUGUGGAACUCGAACGAUCGAACGGGGAGAUUCAUUCAUCGCCGCUCCGCGCGGGUCCGCGGCGGGGCGCUCGGCGGCGACGGUUCGUCCGUCGUCGCCGUCGCCUCGUCGCAGUCGGGCCUCCGGAGCGCGUGCACUUCUCCCUCAGUAUAACACCGCGACCCGUUCGUCGCGGCGGUCGAACGCGCCGUGCGGUUGUCCCGCUGUCGCCGGUCAAACGGUGGCGGCGGAGCCGCGGCGUCGCGGCCGCCUGCGGACGGUAGAGAACGAGGUUCGCGUCCGCCGCAUUCGUGCGGCGUCCGUGAUGCUGCGGCGGCGCCCCCCGCUCGGACCUCGGCGCGCAAGCGUCGUGGGCUCCGUGCGCCGGUUUUGGGCGUCGCGUUUUCGGCGGCAUCGUCUCGGACGGGACGCGUCCCGGUCUGCGGUGGUUUUGUUUCGGGCACUCACAGGACCC
rnacentral:rRNA from 1 species